UCCUCAGGGCAGGAAGUGCGCAG
rnacentral:miRNA from 1 species